AUUGAACGCUGGCGGCAUGCUUUACACAUGCAAGUCGAACGGCAGCACGGACUUCGGUCUGGUGGCGAGUGGCGAACGGGUGAGUAAUACAUCGGAACGUGCCCAGUUGUGGGGGAUAACUACUCGAAAGAGUAGCUAAUACCGCAUGAGAACUGAGGUUGAAAGCAGGGGAUCGCAAGACCUUGCGCAACUGGAGCGGCCGAUGGCAGAUUAGGUAGUUGGUGGGAUAAAAGCUUACCAAGCCGACGAUCUGUAGCUGGUCUGAGAGGACGACCAGCCACACUGGGACUGAGACACGGCCCAGACUCCUACGGGAGGCAGCAGUGGGGAAUUUUGGACAAUGGGCGCAAGCCUGAUCCAGCAAUGCCGCGUGCAGGAAGAAGGCCUUCGGGUUGUAAACUGCUUUUGUACGGAACGAAACGGCCUGGGUUAAUACCCUGGGCUAAUGACGGUACCGUAAGAAUGAGCACCGGCUAACUACGUGCCAGCCGCCGCAGUAAGAC
rnacentral:rRNA from 1 species